rnacentral:rRNA from 1 species
UACCAGCACCCCGAGUGGUCGGGACGAUUAUUGGGCCUAAAGCAUCCGUAGCCGGUCAUGCAAGUCUUCCGUUAAAUCCAGCCGCUCAACGGUUGGGCUGCGGAGGAUACUACGUGGCUAGGAGGCGGGAGAGGCAAGCGGUACUCAGUGGGUAGGGGUAAAAUCCUUUGAUCCAUUGAAGACCACCAGUGGCGAAGGCGGCUUGCCAGAACGCGCUCGACGGUGAGGGAUGAAAGCUGGGGGGGAGCAAACCAGG